rnacentral:rRNA from 1 species
UACGUAGGGGGCUAGCGUUGUCCGGAUUUAUUGGGCGUAAAGAGCUCGUAGGCGGCUCGGUAAGUCGGAUGUGAAACCUCCAGGCUCAACCUGGAGACGCCAUCUGAUACUGCCGUGGCUUGAGUCCGGUGAGAGGAGCAGGGAAUUCCUGGUGUAGCGGUGAAAUGCGCAGAUAUCAGGAGGAACACCAGCGGCGAAGGCGCUGCUCUGGGCCGGUACUGACGCUGAGGAGCGAAAAGCGUGGGGGAGCGAACAGG